rnacentral:rRNA from 1 species
UACGUAGGGUGCAAGCGUUGUCCGGAAUUAUUGGGCGUAAAGAGCUCGUAGGCGGUUUGUCGCGUCGGCUGUGAAAACCCGAGGCUCAACCUCGGGCCUGCAGUCGAUACGGGCAAACUAGAGUGUGGUAGGGGAGACUGGAAUUCCUGGUGUAGCGGUGAAAUGCGCAGAUAUCGAGAGGAACACCUGCGGCGAAGGCGGGUUGCUGGGCCGACACUGACGCUGAUGCGCGAAAGCCAGGGGAGCGAACGGG